rnacentral:rRNA from 3 species
UGCCUCUUGAUUUUUUUAUAAGAGGUAACUCCUGCCCAGUGAAUUCUUUUCAACGGCCGCGGUAUCCUAACCGUGCAAAGGUAGCAUAAUCACUUGUCUAUUAAUUGUAGACUAGAAUGAAAGGAUAAACGAAAUAAGCACUGUCUCAUCUAGUUUUAUAUAAAUUAUACUUCAGAUGAAGAUAUCUGAAUAAAAACGAAGGACAAGAAGACCCUAUAGAGCUUUAUUUUAAUAAAGAUUCACGCUUUACAAAAAAUUCGGUUGGGGCGACCAAGGAAUAAAAAACACCCUUUAAUUUCAAGAUUUAUAAAUCUCCUAUAUGACCCUUUUUAGAUCAUUAGAACAAGCUACCUUAGGGAUAACAGGCUAAUCUCAUUAAAGAGUCCUUAUCUAUAAUGGGGGUUGGCACCUCGAUGUUGGCUUAGGGUAUCUAUACAGCGCAAAAGUUGUAAACAGGUGGUUUGUUCAACCAUUAAUUCCCU